rnacentral:misc_RNA from 1 species
GCAAACUUGGUCAUUUAGAGGAAGUAAAAGUCGUAACAAGGUUUCCGUAGGUGAACCUGCGGAAGGAUCAUUAAAAAAUUUAAUAUCCAUAAUCCACCUUUUGUGCAACUAUUGAAGAAAAGUUAAUCUUUGGGGAUGGGAAAAAUAUAUAUAUAUUUUUUCUCAUUCAUUCUCCCAAAGGUUUUUAAAAUAUAUAAUUUUUUUCUUAAUAAUUGUCUUAAUAUAAAAUAAAAAACAACUUUCAACAACGGAUCUCUUGGCUCUCGCAUCGAUGAAGAACGCAGC